AAAAACUCUAAAGCUUAAUUAGGAAAUCUAAGAAUCUUAUAACCCUAAAAAUCAAUAACCUAAUUAACAUUUUACUAACCUUGAUUAAGCCAAAAGAACUUGAUUAAAUCUAUAAAAAAAAGAGGGUGUAAAACCUGGUAAUUGAUGUACAACAAAUGUGUUUAGGCCCGGGAACCGUAGGAUUUUCCUUCUCCUUUUUCGUUUUCUUCUGGUUCUGAAUCUUUCUCCCUUUCAGUGCGUUCGUUGAGUUUAUUGGAUAGAAGUGGUUGAUGCGGAAGGUUGAUAAUGGAUGAAGGUCAAACUCGGUUAUGCCGUCAAUAGCAUUUCUGUUUUUGUGCAGGGUUAUGCAGAAUGAAGUAGGGUCAAAGAUCUGCAGGGUGAUGAAAAUUGUGAAACAGAAUGGAGAUUGGAAACUGAAGAAAAAAUCCCAAAAUGAAGAAAGAAGGUUUUCUUGGCGGUUUUCCCUUGGCAGCAACAUAUGGUUUUUUUACGAAAAGUGAGACUAUGUAGAACCCUUACCGGUACGGUGCUGAAGGUAAUUCAUGAGAACUCAAUGGAUUCUCUCUUAAUUGUCUUGGAGUGUUGUGAGUUAUGAAUAGCGGCAUUCAUGUCAUGCGCGACAAGCCGAGAUCCCUUUAAGCUAGGCAACAAAUUCACUCAUUGAAAGUAGAGCAGGUCUCAAAAUUGGCCAUGUUUCUUCCACUGCAUCAGCACAUGUCUCUUAUGAAUUGGGAAACAUAAAUGAACUUGGGUUGCACUUUGAAUCCAUCCUCCUUUGGAAUUUUGUGUAAUCCUUUCUGCAAGUGGAAAAGAUGUAUUAAAAGGAAACAUACCACUCCACCUUCACCGCCCAAUGUACAAUUCAUACAAACAUGUGAUUAUGUUUUGGUGUUGUAUGGAAAUGAUUAUGGGAUUGAAUUGUAAUUGGAGAUGUUAAUUAUAUGCACAUAUUUAUUUUGUAGAACAAAGUUUGUGGGUUUAUGAAUUGGAUGUUUAUGUAUGGAUGAUUAAUGGUUGAAUUUGAAUAAUGGUUUGUGAAUGCAAAUAGAAAUUGUAUUAACUUGAA